CAAGUAUUUGAUACACUGCCGAUUUUGCAGGUUUUCCUACGUACAAAGCAUUUACAGGUCUGUAAUUUUUAUCAUAGGUACACAUCAACUGUGAGAGACGGAAUCUAAAACAAAAAUCCAGAAAAUCAUAUUGUAUGAUUAAGUAAUUAAUUUGCAUUUUAUUGCAUGACAUAAGUAUUUGAUCACCAACCAACCAGUAAGAAUUCUGGCUCUCACAGACCUGUUAGUUUUUCUUUAAGAAGCCCUCCUGUUCUCCACUCAUUACCUGUAUUAACUGCACCUGUUUGAACUCGUUACCUGUAUAAAAGACACCUGUCCACACACUCAAACCUCUCCACAAUGGCCAAGACCAGAGAGCUGUGUAAGGACAUCAGCGAUAAAAUUGUAGACCUGCACUAGGCUGGGAUGGGCUACAGGACAAUAGGCAAGCAGCUUGGUGAGAAGGCAACAACUGUUGCCGCAAUUAUUAGAAAAUGGAAGAAGUUCAAGAUGACGGUCAAUCACCCUCGGUCUGGGGCUCCAUGCAAGAUCUCACCUCGUGGGGCAUCAAUGAUCAUGAGGAAGGUGAGAGAUCAGCCCAGAACUACACAGCAGGACCUGGUCAAUGACCUGAAGAGAGCUGGGACCACAGUCUCAAAGAAAACCAUUAGUAACACACAGCGCACGCAAGGUCCCCCUGCUCAAGCCAGCACAUGUCCAGGCCCGUCUGAAGUUUGCCAAUGACCAUCUGGAUGAUCCAGAGGAGGAACCGGAGGUCUUGUGGUCUGAUGAGACAAAAAUAGAGCUUUUUGGUCUAAACUCCACUCGCUGUGUUUGGAGGAAGAAGAAGGAUGAGUACAACCCCGAGAACAACAUCCCAACGGUGAAGCAUGGAGGUGGAAACAUCAUUCUUUGGGGAUGCUUUUCUGCAAAGGGGACAGGACGACUACACCCCAGUAAGAGCAUUAAAGAUGGGUCGUGGCUGGGUCUUCCAGCAUGACAACGACCCGAAACACACAGCCAGGGCAACUAAGGAGUGGCUCCGUAAGAAGCAUCUCAAGGUCCUGGAGUGGCCUAGCCAGUCUCCAGACCUGAACCCAAUAGAAAAUCUUUGGAGGGAGCUGAAAGUCUGUAUUGCCGAGUGACAGCCCCAAAACCUGAAAGAUCCGGAGAAGGUCUGUAUGGAGGAGUGGGCCAAAAUCCCUGCUACAGUGUGUGCAAACCUGGUCAAGUACUACAGGAAACGUAUGAUCUCUGUAAUUGCAAACAGGUUUCUGUACCAAAUAUUAAGUUCUGCUUUUCUGAUGUAUGAAAUACUUAUGUCAUGCAAUAAAAUGCAAAUGAAUUACUUAAAUCAUACAAUGUGAUUUUCUGGAUUUUUGUUUUGGAUUCAGUCUCUCACAGUUGAAGUGUACCUAUGAUAAAAAAAUUACAGACCUCUACAAUCUUUAAGUAGGGAAACCUGCAAAAUCGGCAGUGUAUCAAAUACCUGUUCUCCCCACUGUAUGGAAUAAUGUAGUAACCAAAAAAAGUGUUAAACAAAUCUACAUAUUUGAGAUUCUUCAAAGUAGCCAACCUUUGCCUUGAUGACAGAUUUGCACACUCUUGGCAUUUUCUCAACCAGCUUCAUGAGGUAGUCACCUGUAAUGCAUUUCAAUCAACAGGUGGGCCUUGUUAAAAGUUCAUUUGUGGAAUUUCUUUCCUUAAUGCAUUUGAGCCAAUCAGUUGUGUUGUGACACAGUAGGGGUGGUAUACAGAAGAUACCCCUAUUUGGCAAAAUACCAAAUCCAUAUUAUGGCAAGAACAGCUCAAAUAAGCGAAAUUACAGUCCAUCAUUACAUUAAGACAUGAAUGUCAAUCAAUGCGGAAAGUUUCAAUUUGAAUGUUACUUUAAGUGCAGUUGCAAAAAACAUCAAGUGCUAUGAUGAAACUGGCUCUCAUGAGGACCACCACAGGAAAGGAAGACCCAGAGUUACCUCUGCUGCAGAGGAUAAGUUCAUUAGAGUUGCCAGCCUCAGAAAUUGCAGCUCAAAUAAAUGCUUCACAGAGUUCAAGUAGCAAACAAAUCUCAACAUCAAUUGUUCAGAGGAGACUGUGUGAAUCAGGCCUUCAUGGUCGAAUUACUGCAAAGAAACCACUACUCAAGGACACCAAUAUGAAGAAGAGACUUGCUGGGGCCAAGAAACACGAGCAAUGAACAUUAGACCGCUGGAAAUCUGUCCUUUGGUCUGAUGAAUCCAAAUGUGAGAUUUUUGGUUCCAACCGCUGUGUCUUUGUGAGACGCAGAGUAGGUGAACAGAUGAUCUCCGCUUGUGUGGUUCCCACCGUGAAGCAUGGAGGAGGUGUGAUGGUGCUUUACUGGUGACACUGUCUUUGAUUUAUUUAGAAUUCAAGGCACACUUAACCAGCAUGGCUACCACAGCAUUCUGCAGCGAUACGCCACCCCAUCUGGUUUGUGCUUAGUGGGACUAUCAUUUGUUUUUCAACAGGACAAUGACCCAACACAUCUCCAGGCUGUGUAAGGGCUAUUUGACCAAGAAGGAGAGUGAUGGAGUGCUGGAUCAGAUGACCUGGCCUCCACAAUCCCCCGACCUCAACCCAAUUGAGAUGGUUUGGGAUGAGUUGGACCGCAGAGUGAAGGAAUUUUUUAUUUUAUUUUACCUUUAUUUAACUAGGCAAAUCAGUUGAUAACAAAUUCUUAUUUUCAAUGACGGCCUAGGAACAGUGGGUUAACUGCCUGUUCAGGGGCAGAACAACAGAUUUGUACCUUGUCAGCUCGGGGAUUUGAACUUGCAACCUUCCGGUUACUAGUCCAACGCUCUAACCCCUAGUAGCCCUGCCGCCCCGAAAAGCAGCUAGUGCUCAGCAAAUGUGGGAACUCCUUCAAGACUGUUGGAAAAGCAUUCCAGGUGAAGCUGGUUGAGAGAAUGUCACGAGUGUGCAAAGCUGUCAUCAAGGCAAUGGGUGGCUACUUUGAAGAAUCUCAAAUAUAAAAUAGAUUUUGAUUGGUUUAGCACUUAUUCGGUUACUACAUGAUUCCAUGUGUGUUAUUUCAUAGUUUUGAUGUCUUCACUAUAAUUCUACAAUGUAGAAAAUAGUACAAAUAAAGAAAAACCCUUGAAUGAUUAGGUGUGUCCAAACUUUUGACUGGUACUGUACACUACCAUUCAAUUUAACCAUUCAAAUGUUUGGGGUCACUUAGAAAAGCUCAUUUUUUUGUCCAUUAAAAUAAGAUAAAAUUGAUCAGACAUACAGUGUAGACAUUGUUAAUGCUGUAAAUGACUAUUGUAGCUGGAAACGUCUGAUUUUUAAUGGAAUAUGUACAUAGGCGUGCAGAGGCCCACAUUGUGUUAGCUAAUGUUAAAGAAGCAAUAAAACUGUCCUUUAGACUAGUUGGGUAUCUCCAUUGAACAUGCCAUUUAGUCCAGGAAUAGGCCUAAUCUGGCUCCGGGAAACUGGCCCUUAGAAACCCAAAUUGUUUUGCAAUAAAGUUUUGAUGUGAUGUCAAGCAUGCACCUGCAUCCAGAGUGUGUACCAUAGAAGUAGAAUCAUUAGGUAAAUAGAUUAUAUUUAUGUGGUGGGUACUCUACUUUUGAACAGGUCCAGCUGUAUGACAUGUUCCGUUCACUGAAGCGGUUCUAUCUGAUUCUGGAGCUGGCUCUGAGCGGAGACCUUUUAGAACACAUCAACGCCGUGUCCCAUAGCAAGGGCAGCCCGGGCCUCAGUGAAGAGGAGGCUCGCAGGCUCUUCAAACAGAUAGUCAAUGCUGUCAUGCACUGUCACAACAACCACAUAGUACACAGGUAACACCUCACUGUCACAACAACCACAUAGUACACAGGUAACACCUCACUGUCACAACAACCACAUAGUACACAGGUAACACCUCACUGUCACAACAACCACAUAGUACACAGGUAACACCUCACUGUCACAACAUCCACAUAGUACACAGGUAACAUCUCACUGUCUGCAAUAACAACCACAUAGUAAACAGGUAACACCUCACUGUCACAACAUCCACAUAGUACACAGGUAACAUCUCACUGUCUGCAAUAACAACCACAUAGUAAACAGGUAACACCUCACUGUCACAACAACCACAUAGUACACAGGUAACAUCUCA